rnacentral:lncRNA from 1 species
CUCUGUGCCCAUGAUGAAGACAGAGCCUGAGAGUGAGACACCUGGGCUCUUAGUAUGUGAUGAUUUUACAGAGAAGAUUAAUAAUCUGGACACAAACAAUAUUACACAAGGUUGUAGUGAACUGGGAAGUGUCUCUGUACUAGAGCACAAAGAAGAACUGGGUGAGUUUAAUCUUACAGAGCAUGACACGGAGCCCCAGUUGAUUGACCAUGCAGAGCAGCAGACUGAUGUAUCUGGUGAAGAGAAGAGUACUGAGUUACAGCAGCACAAUCAGAGGAAGAGGAAGAAUCAGUCAAGGUCUUGCUCAGAUGGAGUGGACAAACUACCAUUAUGGCACAGGGGGGAGCAGCCUUACUGUCAGUCUAGUAUUUCACAACCCUACCAGCACCUUCACACAGGAGAGAGAUCUUUCGGCUGCAGUCAGUGUGAAACUUAGUAGUCCCGUUUGGGCCUCCAAUAGUCACAGAGUCAGUUGUCAACAGAAUGGGGAUGAUGAUGAACAGGCUGAUCGUAAGAAAUGGAAAAUGGAGUAUCACUUUUUACCGCAAAAGUAAUUUCCCUGGAUAAACAUUUUUCUCCUCCAGGUAAUUUUUAUUUUUGCACGGGUGUGCAGAUUUUCUAAUCAGUUCGAUAGAAACAGUAACCAAAUCUGAAUUGCACUGAGAAUAAUGUACACAAUUAUGUAGGUUUAACCUGUGGAAAUACAUUUAUAAUUACAUGGAAUUCACACACAGUUUAGUUUGAUGGCGAUUCACUUCUCCUGACUAGGUGGUACUAGCAGAUGCAGUGAGGUUUAUAUCCAGCUGCAGAAUCUCCUUUCUCAGCUCAGCUCCUCAGUUGUUUUGGAGCCACCGCAGUGCCAACUAAUGACGUCAUCAUGCUGCGCGGCUGUGCAGACAUUUUACCCACAUGGCGGUGAUUGAAUCAGCAAUUUUAGCUAAAUAAUAAAUUAGAAAGUGAUUGAAUCAGAUAUUUUAGAUGAAUAUAGAGAAAGCUAUUUUCUUUCAAAAAAUGUUUUUGCUGAACUCCUGGAGGCCUGAUCUUAUUUUGCUGCACAUAUCUGUAGACCCUAUUGAAAAAUUUAUUUUGGAUUGGCUCUAUCAAGAUGUUUUUUGCAUGCAAUAAAACUCACUUGUUCAGCUU